GACACGCCCCCUUGCGGCUUACCACAUAUCAGUCCGGUUAGCCGCCGAAUUAUAGGAGGGAAGGAGGCUCGCGUCGACUCUUGGCCAUGGAUGGCUCUGAUGGCCAAAGACAAACAGACAGCAUGUGGAGGCAGCGUCCUUAACAAGCGCCUGAUUCUGACGGCCGUUCACUGCUUCGCUAACUCAAUCCCCACCGAGUCUCCUUCCGCCUGGACGGU